CAUUAUGAGCUUGAAGACAAAACAAUAAAAUAGGCAAAUUUCAACAGUUAUAUGUACAUUUUGCAGUAGUUCAAACCGCUUCAGUUUGCUUUUUGUAGCAGUUACUAGUAACUACCAUUCGAAUAUGAUCAACGACGGUUUUUAGGAAUGGUUGGAUGAAGCUCUGGAUGAAUAUCAUUUUUGAGUCAAAACUCCUUAUGGUUGCUCUUGAUGAUGUUCUUCAGUAUGCUGAGGGUCAAAGACUCUCUCACCUUACUCCUUUAGAUGAUAAAAGAUCCGCUUGGGAAGACUUCAAAAUAUAUUUGGCUUGCUUCCUCGAGUUUAAAAAACUCUUCCUGAAGGUAACGCCUUCUAGCAUCCGAAUUUAAAAAACCUAGCGUGGUUUAGAAACUCUUCCUCGAGUUUAAAAAACCUAGCGUGGUUUAGAAAUCCUUCAACCCACUCAGCAACGAGACUUAAAUUUGCAAAUCGUUUUAUCUCGCAAAAGUUUCUCUUUUACCUUCAGACCUGUUUGACCUUCAACCUCAACUUGUAUCAGACAAAUUUGAGCUGAGCCAACUUCGUCCUGCAAAACUCUUCACAUAUAAAGAAACAAUUCCCAUUGAUGUUUUUGUUGAUAGCUUUGAAAGUUGGGCGCAUACUCUUUAAGAUUAUACGGAAAGAUUCCCUGAACUUACUCAAGUUCCCUUUGAAUUAUCUUACUUUUGCACUAAAUUAUUUGAGGACUGGUAGACUUAUUAUUAUGAUCCUAUCAAGAUACCCCUUUAGGUGUGUCUCGAUAAUAUAACAACAACUCUUGGUGUGUAGAAAGGAGAUCCCUCUAGGAAUAGUCGAGGUACGCAUGUAAAAUAAAUUCAAUCAUUUCAAAGAUACUUCCAAGUUUUGUACAUACCUUGUCAAAUAAAGAAUACUCUUCACGAGGCGGCUUAAGCUAUAAUAAGGAAACUCGAAGCAAGUGUUUUGAAAAUUUGAUUUCCUCCUUUUAAAGACAAAUACAAAUUUUCCUUGAGGAUGCGUUUCCCCAACUUUCUGCCUUUUCCAAACUUCAAGUUUUCUUUGGAUUUUCCCGUUGUGCUCCGAAAGUGGAUUUUGUUUUCUUCCUUAGACAGAGUCGAUAAUUCAUUUAAGCCACUUUGUGAUAGGGUAACUUUGAAGAAAUGCUCAAUGUACUACUUUGCUGAGCACCAUCUUUGCAUUACUUCAAGUAUAUUUUCCGCAGUAAACUUCCCAUUCAGGGUUUAACAUAUUUUUUCCACUUCUUCAUAUUUGAUUGUUAAUGUAAAACCACAACUAUCUCGAUUCAAACCCAAUAGAGACUAUCGAAUGUUGGAAGCAAUAGUGGCAAGAACCAAAACUCCCGGCCCAGGAAGCAAAGUCUGAAAAGAAGGGCCUUGCGAACUCGAUCUCAUGUAAUUACGAAAAGUUCUCCCCUUAUUUUUGAAAAACGUUUCUAUUUUACCUUACCGAGUCUUCACAUUUUCCAUUCGUCAAAUUCUAUACAGACUCGAAAAAUGAACUCUUAAAGCAUUACUCUAGAGAGAAAUAAGAAAUCAAAAUAUGAGUUUAUGAAUCUUGAUGCAGAAGAAGACAAAUAUGAGGAAGCCAAGAAAUAUUCAUAAUGUGUAUGUAAGACCAAGAUUUGGUCAGGUUGUACAACUCUAUGUUUGGUGAUAACAAGCUUAUAUUUGUGUAUGAACAAUUAUGGUACUCUAACGUUUAUCUUUUAAGUGUUUGACAAUCAGGUUCUGAUCCUGAUCCAAAGACAUAUUCAUCAGAAGAUAAAGACCAAAUGGUAACCAUUGAGAUGCUUCUGCACUCACUACGUUCUUCUGAACGGUUGUCAAUGCUUCAGAUGUUCUGAAGAUUAAAGCUCUGAUGUGGGCUAUGAAGAUUCAGAUGCUGAAGAUUAUGAAGACCAGAAGUUCUGAGCGAACGGUCCAGAAGCUGAAGACUUGAAGAUUCUCAAGACCCAGAGAAAUCUGGCUCUCAAGACCAAAGUACUUCUGAUUUUGAAGACCAGAAGUUCUGAGUGAACGGUUCAGAUGCAGAAGUUAUGAAGGUUAGAGGAUCCAAGCUUCCUCGUGACUUUGAUCAAGUUGCUUCACAAGUUCCAACACGAAGCUUCUCCAAAGAUCAGAAGUCAACUAGGAUAAGGCAAAUGUAAUUUUCAAUAGUACAAAAGCAGUGUACUAUUCUGUCGCCUUACCUAACGAGCUUCAGCCACAACAGGUUCUGGAAUUUCCAGAAUUGCCUUCCAACGGAUACAAAACUUUCACCUUGGAGUAUUUAAAGGCUGAAGAGAAAAGAAAUUGACUAAGAAAAUACUGUGCAAUCCAAGUGAAACUUACCAGCGAAUACCUUAGAAAUAUUUUUUCAUUGUUCUUAUUGUGUUUACUCCUGUUUGUUUAGAACCAACUCAUUGUAAACCCAAACUUUUCACAAACUUUGUUUGUAUUUCCUUAAGGAACCAGGUAGGUCAGAUUCCUUGAGAAGACUAAGACUUGUUUGUCUUAGUGUUGCUAGUUCUUAGAUUUGUAAGUCACUGAGCAAGGUGUGCUAGUGCAGUUGUAACAAUCUUUGAUUAAUGGAUUACCUUCAUUCUACGAAGGAAGAAAUCACCUUAACGGGUGGACUGGACUAGCUUGAGGGAUUUAUCAAGUGAAUCAGGAUAAAACACUUAUGUGAUUUUCUCCUCUCUUUAUCUCUUGCACGUUUUGUCUUAGUUACUUAGAAUAUUUGCUAAAAUCUUAAAGGGAAAGUUUUUAAACUUAAAACCUAUUCAAACCCCCCUUUCUAGUGUUUUUCAUACCUUCAGCGUAGGCCUUAAUCAAAUAUUUUGCAUAAAUGACCUUAUUCCUUUUCAGCUCGCGGCGAGAAGGGGAAGUCAACAAAUAAACCUCCAACUUCUCGUCGAAACCUCACAGAUCAUGUUUAACGAGAUUCCAUCAAAGAGUUAUGUCAGAUCAACGUCAAGCGUAGCUACAUACACGAGUUCCAAGAACUUGGCACCCGCAAAAGAUGAAAUUUACCAGGUAUUAUUCCCAUGUCCUUAUCUAUUUCCACAAUUUACAAUUUGUUGUUGGGAACUCUUCUUUACUUCAUUCAUUUGCAAAGAACCCCUACUCCAAAGGCCUUGAAGAAAGCCAAUCCACCACCUUAAUUAAAUACUUACAUCUUAAUUCUUCCUACAUCACAUCAAGUGAUAAUAGUACUUCAGGUGGUGAAAUCGUCCUCUUUUCCAUCGCUUUAGAUUGGGUGUCAAAAUAAACGUAAGAUACUUUAUCUUUCCUAAUUCGCUGAUACAAAUAAUCCUCUUUAUUUUCUUCUUCAGGGUAAAAAUGUUCAAGGAGAUGAAGGGGACGAAGAAUUCCUAGAUCAAUGCGCAAGUGAUAUUGAAGCGGAUAUUGCAUAUGGAGACCCUAAUCAAGAAAAUAAUCCUCUGAAGACCGCUUCUCUAAUAACUACGAGAGUGGCUCUAGUAUCCAGUACCAAGUCUUUGACUUCAUUCCACACGCCUUCAGCACAUAUUGAUCGUGAAACAUUUAGAGCUCAAGUUGACAAGAACCCAACACUUGAUUUAGAUCACUUUAUAUACGAUUUGUCCUUUACGUCUUCAUCUCAGAAUUGUCGUUAUAUGACACCAACAGAAACUGCUCAAUCAGAGCCUAGGAUUGAAGAAUCCAUAAUUAAGCUACGAAGGCUUGUGCUUGACCGUGAUCUCCUUGAUGUAUUAUAAAUUAACCAUUGUUCGGGCCAAGAGAUGAGGGAUCUUAUCAUGCAAACUCCUAGUUGAUAUCUUGUUGUCAAAGAAUGAAGUGAGACACAUGUAUGAUUUUUUAAGGAUGCAAUAAUUCUGUUGAAUUCAACCUAUUGCAAAUCGACAAUGGUGAAAGAUAUGAUCCACCUGCAAAACUAAAAGCAUAAAAAGAAUAAUGAAUUGAAUGAAAAAUAAGAACAAACAAAUGAAAACAUGAACUUUCUAUAAAAAAAGGGAAACACACUAAAACAUAAGAGAAAACAUUUUAGGGCACCACAAUAUCAUCUCCCUAACUAUUAAUCACCUAUCCUCCAUGAACUCACACCAAGCCAUUUGAUUAGGAUGAAGAGCACACUUGAUCAACUCCUUAAUGGAUAUGCCGCUCAUAAAGAGUGUGGAGGACUAGAAAAAAAAAAGUAAAGUCUUACUUGGUAGAGAAUGGCUGAGGAUGAGAGAUAAAGGAAAGAAUUGUAAGAUGAACCGAUAAGGAGGCAUCGUUUUUAAAUGUGCUAUUUGAAGUUAAGGAAAAUAAGAAUGAUGGAAACAAUUAUGAAAAAUUGGAGGCAAAAUUCAUAUAAUACCGAGUAGAUUUAAUGUUAAUUAUUAAUUAUGAAAUGUUAGUGUGUCUGUGCAAUAGAAUAGUGGGGUUUUCCCCAAGGUUUUGUUUCUUGCUUGUUUAAAGUUUCCCUGUAGGCUAUAUUGAGUUCUGGUAUGAGUUUUUGGGGUUAUUCUCUUUCUGUACUGGUUUUUGUUUGGAUAGCCUAUCAAGGAUUAUUUUCCCACAUGGGAGAGAUUGUUCCCAUGUUGAAUGUUGUUGAUUAAUUUAUCUUCAUUUUUUUCAAUAAAACUUAUGAAAGUGUUACUUUUAAAAUGUACAAUGCAGAUUAAAAAAAUAGAAGGUGAGGGAUUAAAAAUUUGAUGUGGGGAAGCUUAUGUGGGAAGUAAAGGGAAAAAUUUUAAUUUAAAAACAUUAACAUUAACCUGUAUAUUUCAAAAUUCAUUUGACAAUUAAAAUAUACAUUUAAUCCAGAAAACCUUAUACUGUAGGUUAUUAUCAUCCUUCACCCACACACCAUAUACCAACAUGCCUCACAAUAGCCUCUUCCUAUAAACUAAGUUGUUAUUAAUAGUAAUUUCUUAUUAAUUAAUGAGUGAUAGAUGAUUAUUAGUAAUAGUACUAAACAUAACAAACACCUAAUAUUGGAAAAAUCAUAUAUUUAGUAAGAGGUUCCUUAUUUUUCUCAUAAUGUUAACGCUUUGCUAUUCAAGUAUAAAUAGUGCUCGAACAUACUUCAAAAUCAAAUUCAUGAAUUGAAAAGAAGUGCAAGGACAUAGCGUGUUAACAAAAACAAUUAUAAUGGAUAUGAAGCUCAAUAUCGCGAUAAUUGCUUUUGUCUCAUUUCUUUAUGGCUUUAGUACAGCUCAAUCAUGGGUCCUUGAGAUAUCAAAAUUUGGCGGAGCACCGAAUGCAGAUAUAACACAGGUAUUAUCUUAUCAUUGAUUAUAUUAAGAAAAAAAUUAUUUCACUUUUGGAAAUGAAAAAACUUAUUUCACUUUUCGCUCGAAACUUAGUUUUAUCCAACUAAAUUGGUGAUAUCACAAGCAAGUACUAUAUAUUAUUUAUUUUAGUUUAUAAUCAAAUAAUUGAUUCGAGUUUUACACAUUCUUAAGGCUUUUACAAAUGCUUGGAAAAAAGCAUGUGAGUCAACCACUUCAGCCAAAAUUGUGAUUCCUCAUGGUACAUACAAGAUGGGUGCAGUACAGGUCCAAGGUCCUUGCAAGGCCCAUAUUGAAGUUCAAGUUGAUGGAACAAUUAAAGCACCUGUAAACCCAAGGAACUUCAAAGGGGCUGGCACAUGGGUGCAGUUUAGUUAUAUUAGCUUUUUCACCUUAUCGGGUAAAGGAGUUUUUGAUGGUGUUGGUGAAACUGCUUGGAAAAGAAAUGAUUGUUCAAAAAACAAGCAUUGCACCUUGCUUCCCAUGGUAAAUAUAGAUUACUCUUGCAUUUUCAUUCCAAGUAUGUUACACAUUUAUCAAACAAUAAUAAAUCAACAAUUGAUCUUUUUGUCUGAUGUCAACAGAAUUUUGCUUUUAAUUACGUCAAUAAUUCAAUUGUUCGUGACAUUACUUCCAAAGAUAGCAAAAGCUUCAAUGUCAAUGUUUUGGGUUGCAACAAUUUUACAUUUGAUGGUUUCAAAAUUGUUGCCCCUGCUUUGAGUCCGAACACAGAUGGAAUCCACGUUGGAAGAUCAACUGAUGUGAAGAUUCUUAACACAAAUAUUGGUACCGGAGAUGAUUGCGUCUCAUUAGGUGAUGGAAUAAAAAAUGUACUUGUUCAAAAUGUCAACUGCGGACCAGGUCAUGGUAUUAGUGUUGGUAGCCUCGGAAAGUACCCGGAUGAAAAGCCUGUAGAAGGAUUUUAUGUAAAGAAUUGCACUUUGACAAACACUGAUAAUGGUGUGAGGAUCAAGACUUGGCCUAGCACCCCAGGAACAGCUCCUAUAACCGAUAUGCAUUUCGAAGACAUUAUCAUGGUCAAUGUAAAGAACCCUAUUAUCAUCGACCAAGAGUAUUGUCCAUGGAACCAAUGCUCCAAAAAGGUAUUUAAUCCUAAACUUAUAUUUAUUAAUGCAAAAGUUAACAUAUAUUUUCAUUUUUAAAAAAUAAUGUUCAUAGUUUAAAAUUUAGUAAUUUAAUUGUCCAUACACUAAAGUAAUUUAUAUGACUGAUUGUUGUCCAUUUGUUGGUUUCUUUAAAUGAGCCAGAGUCCAUCUAAAAUAAAGAUAAGCAAGGUUUCGUUCAAGAACAUUAGGGGCACUUCAGCAACUCCGGAAGGAGUAAUUCUUAUUUGCAGCAGUGGUGUACCUUGUGACACUGUAGAGCUAAAUGGUGUUGAUCUUACUUUCAAUGGAGCCCUAGUACUGGAAAAGCUCCUACAUGUGUAGCACCGGCAGCUUAGAAUGACUUUAACAUGGCAUAAUGUGUCCAAGAUUAUAAUAUUUUCUUUAACUUUCUAUUUUCCUUUUAAGGGUAUAGAACUCAUCCCCAUAAAACGAGGAUGCUAAUGAUUCUAGUCCCGAAAUGCGGGUUCAUGUAAACAAUUUUUCCAAGACUUUAAUUUCUAUCAGUUGACACAAUAAUUACAAGAUGUUUUCCCUUUGUUGGAUACAAUUU
rnacentral:lncRNA from 1 species